rnacentral:rRNA from 1 species
CUGUUGCCUCGGCGGGAUCUCUGCCCCGGGUGCGUCGCAGCCCCGGACCAAGGCGCCCGCCGGAGGACCAACCAAAACUCUUAUUGUAUACCCCCUCGCGGGUUUUUUACUAUCUGAGCCAUCUCGGCGCCCCUCGUGGGCGUUUCGAAAAUGAAUCAAAACUUUCAACAACGGAUCUCUUGGUUCUGGCAUCGAUGAAGAACGCAGCGAAAUGCGAUAAGUAAUGUGAAUUGCAGAAUUCAGUGAAUCAUCGAAUCUUUGAACGCACAUUGCGCCCGCCAGUAUUCUGGCGGGCAUGCCUGUCCGAGCGUCAUUUCAACCCUCGAACCCCUCCGGGGGGUCGGCGUUGGGGAUCGGCCCUUUACGGGGCCGGCCCCGAAAUACAGUGGCGGUCUCGCCGCAGCCUCUCCUGCGCAGUAGUUUGCACACUCGCAUCGGGAGCGCGGCGCGUCCACAGCCGUUAAACACCCCAAACUUCUGAAAUGUUGACCUCGGAUCAGGUAGGAAUACCCGCUGAACUUAAGCAUAUCAAUAA